UGACAUUCAAUCCAAAACCACUAGAUCAACAAGAUUUUAACUUGUUGUACUAGGCCCUGAAUAAAAUUACUCACCACAGCCUUCAUAACCAAGAAACAAAUACACAAGAUGUCAAGAGUAGAACAAAAAAGCAAGAGCAAAAAUUUCAAAUCCAUAAUGAGAGCACCGAUUGAACACCAAGAGAAAAACAAAGCAUCGAUCGAACACCAAGAGAAAAACAACUUAUGAGCAAGAACUUAUCAAAUCACCAACCGAGAUCAAAG
rnacentral:lncRNA from 1 species